rnacentral:lncRNA from 1 species
UCUUACUGAAGAUCCUUGUGUACCUGAAGCCUUUUGAAGGAGGGGGGAUCUUUGGAAGUGAAUGCCUGGCCUGAAGCCCAGCUACUCCAGUAAGCAAGGACCUGCUUCUAGCAAGGCUUAGGUGCUUCAGAAGAAGGUGUGGAAAGCUGAUGCUAUGAAGAAAAGAGACUCAACAACAGUUUCUGUACCAUCGUCACCACAGUUCUGU